rnacentral:pre_miRNA from 1 species
AGUUAGCAUUGGUCGUUUCUAUGCUUUUUAUGAUCAUAUACCGAUCGAUGCUCGCUUU